GCCGUAGUAGCCCAAUUGGCAGAGGCGUCUGGUUGAGGGCCAGGAGGUUGUGGGUUCGAAUCCCACCUACGGUACGA
rnacentral:tRNA from 1 species